UCCCAUUAAUCGCAACUCUUCUAAAGAAUCAACGAUGUCAAAUGAUCCUAUCAUUCAACUGCCUUGCGUUCCGAGGAGGGUCGCCCACCUCAAUGAAUCUUUACAGAAACCUUAUCGAGAUUCGAUUCGAAGGAUAAGAUUGUAGAGGGUCUGGAUACAAUGUCUAAAAAAUUCAAGAAAAAAGCUUUGGUCAGUGGAAGGCCAUCCGGGGACAUGCAUUGCUUAAUGCAUUUGUUUUUUGAUAAGUUCCACAACGAGAAAUGCGGUGUGC